UCUAGAACUCCAGAUAUAGGCUGAACACUGAACAAUAUCAGGGCUACAGGAUAGAUUACGACUUCUUUUUUGUUUACAAUUUGAACUUGAAAAUGGCCGUUUUGAAUCUUGGACUCUUCAUGAAAGUUUUAGGCCUAUGUCUUAGCUUUCCAUC
rfam:Populus trichocarpa scaffold_1_contig_279, whole genome shotgun sequence.